GAUGAAGAACGUAGCGAAAUGCGAUAAGUAAUGUGAAUUGCAGAAUUCAGUGAAUCAUCGAAUCUUUGAACGCACCUUGCGCCUUUUGGUAUUCCGAAAGGCACACCUGUUUGAGCGUCAUGAAUACCUCAAUGUCCAUCUUUUCUUCGGAUUGAUGGGUGACUUGGAUGUUGAGCCCUGCUGGUAUGCUAUAUCAGCUGGCUUUAAACUUAUUAGCCGGCUCUGUACUGGAUCGGUUUGACUCGACGUGAUAAUAUUAUCGUUGAGGAUGCAUGUCUCAUGCAGCCGGAAAGUAUCAAAGCAGCUUCUAGCUUGCCUUUAGUGCACUUUUACAUUUUAGACCUCAGAUCAGGUGGGACUACCCGCUGAACUUAAGCAUAUCAAUAAGCGGAGGA
rnacentral:misc_RNA from 1 species